rnacentral:rRNA from 1 species
GACGAACGCUGGCGGCGUGCUUGAUACAUGCAAGUCAAGGAGAAAAUUUCCUUCGGGAAAUAAGUAAACUGGCGAACGGGUGAGUAACACGUAGGUAACCUGCCUUAGAGAUUGGGAUAACCCCGGGAAACCGGAGCUAAUACCGAAUAAUGCAACGAAUCCUUCGGGGUAUGUUGUUAAAGCGGGCUUCGGCUCGCACUUUAAGAUGGGCCUGCGUCCGAUUAGCUUGUUGGUGGGGUAAUGGCCUACCAAGGCGACGAUCGGUAGCUGGUCUGAGAGGAUGAUCAGCCACACUGGGAUUGAGAUACGGCCCAGACUCCUACGGGAGGCAGCAGUAAGGAAUUUUGCGCAAUGGACGAAAGUCUGACGCAGCAACGCCGCGUGAUCGAUGACGCUUCUAGGAGUGUAAAGAUCUGUCGUGAGGGAAGAAAAACUUGGAUGUAAAUAAUGUUCGAAUUUGACGGUACCUCACAAGAAAGCACCGGCUAACUUCGUGCCAGCAGCCGCGGUAAUACGAGGGGUGCUAGCGUUGUCCGGAAUUACUGGGCGUAAAGGGUCCGUAGGCGUUUUGCCAAGUUGAUCGUUAAAGCCACCGGCUCAACCGGUGAUCUGCGAUCAAAACUGGCAGAAUAGAAUAUGUGAGAGGAAUGUGGAAUUCCUGGUGUAGCGGUGACAUGCGUAGAUAUCAGGAGGAACACCAAUGGCGAAGGCAGCAUUCUGGCACAAUAUUGACGCUGAGGGACGAAAGCGUGGGUAGCGAACAGGAUUAGAUACCCUGGUAGUCCACGCCGUAAACGAUGAGUACUUGAUGGUGGAGGAUUCGAUCCCUUCACUAUCGGAGCUAACGCGUUAAGUACUCCGCCUGGGGAAUACGGCCGCAAGGCUGAAACUCAAAGGAAUUGACGGGGACCCGCACAAGAGGUGGAACAUGUGGUUUAAUUCGAUGCAACGCGAAGAACCUUACCUGGACUUGACAUGUUAGUGAAAUCUCUGUGAAAGCAGAGCCUUCUGCGAGCUUGCUCAAAGACACUAUCACAGGUGAUGCAUGGCUGUCGUCAGCUCGUGUCGUGAGAUGUUGGGUUAAGUCCCGCAACGAGCGCAACCCCUAUCCUUAGUUGCCAGCACGUAAUGGUGGGGACUCUAAGGAGACUGCCUGGGAUAACCAGGAGGAAGGUGGGGAUGAUGUCAAGUCAGUAUGUCCCUUAUGUCCAGGGCUACACACGUGUUACAAUGGCCGGUACAAUGGGCCGCGAUCCCGCAAGGGCAAGCCAAUCCCAAAAAACCGGCCCCAGUUCAGAUUGGAGUCUGCAACUCGACUCCAUGAAGCAGGAAUCUCUAGUAAUCGCGGAUCAGAACGCCGCGGUGAAUACGUUCCCGGGUCUUGUACACACCGCCCGUCAAGCCAUGGAAGUCGGCAGUACCCGAAGCCGGUGGCCCAACUCUUCGGAGAGGGAGCCGUCGAAGGUAAGGCCGGUAACUAGGGCUAAGUCGUAACAGGGUAGCCGUACCGGAAGGUGCGGCUGGAUCACCUCCUUUCUAGGGAGUAAUUCCGUAUCUAUUACGGAAUAUGGUCGAACUCAGAUCCUUGUGAUCACGCAUACUUAUAAUUUGGGCUUGUAGCUCAGGUGGUUAGAGCGCAUCCCUGAUAAGGAUGAGGUCCGUGGUUCGAGUCCACGCAGGCCCACUUGAUCUACUGUCAACUGUUUUUAAUGGGGCUGUAGCUCAGUUGGGAGAGCGCCUGAUUUGCAUUCAGGAGGUCGCAGGUUCGAUCCCUGUCAGCUCCACAACAAAAAAUUUGUUUUUUGAAAAUUGGGAAUUGAUGUCGAUUCACAAAUGUGAAUCGUCUUCUGCAAUCUGCGGAAGGCGGUAACUUCAUUUUGUGACACUAAAUAAAAGUGAAUUCGUCUCUUAAUUUAUAAUUAAGAGACAGAUCAUUCACGCGAUCAAGAGCCUUUGGCAAAGCUACUAAGAGCGUAUAGAGGAUGCCUAGGCACAUAGAGGCGAUGAAGGACGUGGUAAGCUGCGAUAAGCUUCGGGUAGGUGCAAACAACCUUAAAUCCGGAGAUUU